rnacentral:rRNA from 1 species
UACGAAGGGGGCUAGCGUUGCUCGGAAUCACUGGGCGUAAAGGGUGCGUAGGCGGGUCUUUAAGUCAGGGGUGAAAUCCUGGAGCUCAACUCCAGAACUGCCUUUGAUACUGAAGAUCUUGAGUUCGGGAGAGGUGAGUGGAACUGCGAGUGUAGAGGUGAAAUUCGUAGAUAUUCGCAAGAACACCAGUGGCGAAGGCGGCUCACUGGCCCGCAACUGACGCUGAGGCGCGAAAGCGUGGGGAGCAAACAGG